CCUAAGGUGAUUCUGUGAUCCCAUUGGACAGCUCACCUCAAUCCUUAAGAACUGGAAGUGUGACUUUGGAACAGGAAUCUGGAUACGUUCAUAAUUUUAUGUACUUUUCUGUUGUUGUUGUUGAAAGGUACAAAAGGC
rnacentral:lncRNA from 1 species